rnacentral:lncRNA from 1 species
GAAUUUUGGUGUCCUUGACCAAGAAUUUUGGCUCCCUUUGAUGAUGAAGUUGCUGGAACACUAGACGUGGAUGAGAAAGACCGAUUUGGCCCCAACUACCUGGCACAGACCGCGUAUCCUAUUGCUUUUUUAUGGCGAAUAAACCAUCAAGUUUCUGUUCUAACGAGAUUUGCCGAGAUUGCCCAUUUAAAGCUGUUUGUUGAGGAAGGUUUUGGCUCAAAGCUCUGUUGAAGGAUCACUCUUUGUAAAAUUUCGAUAUUAAAAUCAUGACUGGAAAGACUGAUCAAAUAACAUCAAGAAAAGAGCUUUGAGAACGAUAUUUCCAUCGGCCGGUAGCUGUAUUUAUCGAGAUUUUUGAGACGAAUCGCCAACGAACAGAGAUUCAUGAAAACUAGCUUCAAUUUGAAAUUUAAGUUUGCAAGAUUUUAUUACUUGUAUAAACUCAAAUCAUAUCUGUGUUUUAAAUAGGUUGGGCUUGUUUACCUUAAACUAAAGAGAAAAAUUGUGCAAAGCUGAAGAACUAUGCUAUUAUUGCAUUCAUACCCUGAGCUGGUACCAAGCAGGUCAUUCAUUGUCUGUCGUCCCAGCAAGCCCUUCGGUUCUGCAUAAUUUAUGCUUCGUCCAUGUUUUUAAUCUGAGCCAGCCCUUUCUUAAACCACAACUAAUGGCGGGGCUAUUCGUUGAAUUACGAGCCAAAUGAAGCGCUCAGGAUCACUCAAGCUUGUUAUAAAAGGCAUCUUAGAAAUGGAGUAAAAAAAAAAGGACAACGAGGCACAUGACACAAAAGCACCAAUGCUUCAUUCUUAAGAGGGAUGUCCCGUCAACCUUCACCUUCCCAUGAGCAGGAUUCAAGUCAAAAAGCCAUGAUUGCCCAUCAAGACAAUUUAACAGACGCUCUUAAUUCGCUGGGCCUCACUAAAGGUGCCACGAACCUAUCUCCAGAGGCAAAGAGACACCAUGAAAAUGUUGCUCUUUACAUGUUCAUCGGCCUUGUGUCCGCUUUCUUGUUCAUCGCGACGAUCAUCAUCACAGUUGAACUGUACCGGAGUGGACGAUGCGCGAAAAGUUUAAAACGAAAGGGUGAUAAGGGAAGAACUAGGCUUGAAAAUGAAGAUGAUGACGAUGAGGGUGAUUAUUCGGAAAUAGAGAUGAACGACUUAUAGUGAUAAAUGUAUAUGGAUCCAAAGUGGGUUUCCUGCGGAAGGAAGUAAUUCAGGUGUGAUAACGGGAAUGCGAUCGAUGUAAUGGGUACGGGGCCGUGCGGUGACCAAUUUGUUGCAAGGUUUUGCAAAGUGGACUGACGGUGAAGGUGUUUAUUCGGAAAUCUAGAUGAUUGACUUGUUGUGACAAAUGUAUAGAACCAGCAUAAGUAUCAAUGCUUUGCUUUACGAUCAGUGCAACGAGUGAGAGUCUCUGUAGCAGGCCAGCUGAAGCUCCUCAAUGCAAUGUUUUGCCCAGUGACCUGGGAGCAAAUAUGAAAUAUAAAAUGUCGAUCUUCAAACCAAAUACUGAUCUGUACACUUUCAGUCUUUUCCUUCUCGUUGCCUUCAUCGUUUCAAUAAGGGCCCCGUUAAACAAAGUAGUGUUUGUACCAAAUCAGCAUCAACAUUUGAAAGCAAAGAUGUCAUCGAUCACAUUGAAAACAGGGAAUGCUUGAAAAGGCCUCUUGUUUGGAAAAAGUGUAUCUUCGAUGGCCUGAUUAGUUCCCGCACAUGCGUAAAGCAAUGCCUUUCAACUAAGGCAGCCAAGGCAAAGAAUCGUAUCGUGAUCCAAACUUAAAACAAAUAUUUUUAAUUCCUAAGUAAACUAAGGCUUCAGGAUGUGAGUAUUACACUCUGGCGCCGAUGUUAGGCAAUACAGGAAAACUAAAGAGGUCUGGGUCAUUUUUGGAGAGCCAAUUUUCUAAAUAUUUUGCUAGCGACGCAAAGCUGACCUGGCAGACAGAUAAAACAAAACGAAUUAGUACGAGUACGUCUAAUACAAAACUGUUUUCAUUGUAGUAUCAGCGUAAGCUAACGAAAGGCCCCCCUUGUCAAAUCAACAAAACGUAGAAAUUAAAUCGUUGUACUGUAAUAGCUUUGCACGCGCCAUAAAUAGAUCCCUCUCAGAGAAGAAUAGUCUGGUAGUCUAAUUUUAUUUUUGGAACGAGUCAAACUGGCGGUUCUCAGCAGUUGUUUUCCGGUGAUUGAAUUGAUACGGUGAUCAGAUUAAUUCAAUCAGUUCGAUAUAAACAGCAUUCAGAAUGCAAUAUCCCCUCGUAUUGGUAGUUUCAGUGGGAUUGUAAUAUACAUCUGCGUACUUCCAACAUCAGCCGCCUUGCCUGCGUCGAACGUGCAGGUUCAAGAGAAGGGGUCACUAAGAGUCUGCUGAUAAUCUCUGUUAUAGACUUGUCACAGAUCUAGAGCAUUGAUCAACAACUCUCAAAGAAUGGUUUUUGGCCGACGAUUCAAAUAAAGACAGGACCGCACAGACGUCGAACGUUCUCAACAAGAUAUUGACCAUAAAAACGAUCUAUUUACAUUCAGGAAAUUAUAUUGUUACAUUUUUUAAAGGAGUGCAUGUUUUGAUAUAAUAAACAAUUGUCCGUUUAUGGACAGUGUAGCUUAUCAAGGA